rnacentral:misc_RNA from 1 species
ACAAACUUGGUCAUUUAGAGGAAGUAAAAGUCGUAACAAGGUUUCCGUAGGUGAACCUGCGGAAGGAUCAUUAGCACGUGCCACGCUCGGAUCGCCGAAGGCGGUCCGUGGGUUGGACCAGAGAACCUGUGCGAAUGUCGCGUUCCCUGGGUGUGGAGCGGGAGUGGGUACACAGUAGUACUGCUAGUACUGCUAGUACUGCUAGUACUGCGCCGCACGCGGGGAACGGCACACACACGCCGGAUAGCCACACGUACACGUACACAACAACAACAGAGUAACUUUUAACAAUGGAUCUCUAGGCUCUUGCAUCGAUGAAGAACGCAGC